AGGUUGUUGGGUUGUGUUUUUUUUAAAGAUUAAAUGAAAAUACAGGCCACUCCAUACUGGGGGGGAUCUCUCUAUCCCCUGAUUCUUAAGGAUUUUCUUUGCUAUCUUUCAUCCUUUAUUUUUUUAAUAGUUUGUUUACACAGUCUUCAUUAAUGCUCUAGCUGUUUCAGUUUGUUAAUAUUCACCCCAGUAAGUCGCUAUUUCUUGAUUGAUAAACGACUGAACUAAUUCAGUGUAUUUUAUUCAGUCAGAGUACCAGUUUGGGGCCCAGUUCCCCAGUAAGCAGUACAGCAAUCUGUAUGUGAGAGAAAGAGAAAACAAGGGACAAAGGUUGAUGGAGAAGCUCAGGAAGAGACAAGACAGUCAGACUGGAAAACAUCUACAAAGCUAAGCAAAAAUGGAGAAUAUUACUGAAGAGUCAGCUCUGCAGUAAGUAACAUAAUCAGUCUGUGAUAAUUACAACAAGGCUGGUGAGGCCGAUCCAAAGGUUAUUGCGUGGUUGAGGCCAAAAGGAGGAACAAAAGUUAUUUGAUGUAUAUGUUAAGGAAUAUGCACCACCAGGUUAUUAUAAAGUCCUCUGAUGUUGCAAAUACUUGUGUGUAUUUAACUUUACAAGUAUGAGUAAUUCAUUGAUGGUAAUGAACCUACUUGUGUCCACUUCAGAUUAAGAGUUUGCUUAUCCAGGAAUGAAAGUUUAUUACUUCGGUCACAGUACAGUUCCUCAGAAAGAAUGUUUUAACUUGCUUUUCAUAUUUCAGUACAGUGAUCCUUGCAUAAGUCCUUUAUGAGAAGACCUGUCUUUAAACAGAAGGUAAUUGUGUCCCCUCCUUUUGAUGGAUGCAUGUUUUACUACCAUGAUAUUUUAAACCUUCUGUUAGUGGUUUUUAAGCAAAGUAGACAGAGAUGCUCAAUAAAGAAAAAUACUGUGCUCUAACAGUGUUUUUAAAGGAGAUCACUCUACAUGAUGUGUGAAUGCUUGAAGGAGAGAGAGAGUGUAGGCAAAGAAGAAAGUAAUAAUUUUUACUUUUUAAUCCUAUUUUUUUUAAAUAUGUUGUUAAAGAUGAAAAUGUUUGCAGAAAAGAUUAAACACCACCAAAGCUUCAGUAGAUGAAGCUAAUGUUUAAGACUAUCAUUUGAAUACUUUUUUUUUUUUUUUUAAGUAUAGGUCUGUCAGCUAAAUAUAGUUCAGAUUUUUACAUUUUUAUAGACCAUGUGAGUUCCCUGCAGGCACACUGUGUCUUUUCAGUGAUUUAUAUGGUUUGAAUUAUAGGGGAUGAUAAGCAUUUGCUGUUCAAUAGUGUAGUUAAUGCUCAGCCCCCUGGGUAACAGAGCAGUGAAGCAUUUACUACUCAGUGGUAGUUCUGCAACAAUCAGCAGCAGUGUGACUCUAUCACAGUAAAUUUACAUCGGUACACUUCAUCCUCAGGGAGUUGAACAUCCACUCAGUGAAAACAACUAGAACGGACAUUUUCCAGUUCUUUUGGAUGACACAACUGGAAAAGUUUACUGUUGUAAGUGAAUCGGAAACAGAAAUCACAGAUGGUACAACAUGAAAAUUAUCCAGAUCUUAUUUUCUCUCCUUUUUUUCUCCAGCAUUAAAAAAAUAAAUAAAUGCUCGGACUGGAAAGUUUUUGGAAAGCUGAAAGUUGCAAAACAUGCAGCAUUGGCAGACCCACCGCCGUUCUGGUGCAGAUGCCAAAGGCUCUGGGCCUUUCACUCCCAUUAUUAGAGGGAACCUCCUCUCUCAGGUACUUGCUUUAUAAUGCUUCUGUUCCUGUGACUGUGAUGAGAAAAUAGCAAGGGUUGUGUGAGUGAAGCAAUAAUAGCACUUCUCUUGCAAGAUAUUUUUCUUCAGUAGGCAAGAAAACAUUUUAUAAAGGAAGCCAGUAUCAUCUUCAUGUAAAAAAUGGGGAAGCUUGAAGCAAAAAGAGGUUCCAGGAGUUGGCCACAGUCCUUCAGCAAGACUGUGACAGAGUAAAAAUACAUCUGAGGUUCCCCAAGUGUCUGCUUAAUGUUUUAACCGCUGCAGUCGAUGCAGCCCUCUCUCUAUAAAAUGCAUCUGGAAGCCUCAGGCUGCAGUACAGCCUGCAGCUAGAAUAAGGACUGACAGAGUACAUUCUUCUCUUGUAAGAUAUGAAAGAUGAGGCAAAGGAAUCUGCAGCAGGCAAGAUGAGCUUCAGACUAGAAAACAGCGGGAAAGUGCAAAGUAGGAUUUUCAUAAGCACUCCAUCGCCAAGGAUGCCACUGUGAUUGUGAGAAAAGAAGAAUGCAGUGAAACGAAGAGGUGUAACCCUGCUUUGGUGACAGAGAAUCUGUAGGUAGUGACCAUUAAACCUACACUGCAUUUUUAAGCCUGACGUGGUCAUACAGUAGAGAAACAGCAAAUAUAAAUGUAGGCACCUCAGUGCAAGUCUUGGGGCAAGCAGAUCUCUGCAUGCAUACAUUUAGUUUUACAGCACCAGAGUGCCCAACAGGUUGUCUGCAAGAAGGCUUCAUCUGAGAAGCAAGUCAAGUUUCCCAAAGGCACUUGUGGUAUG